rnacentral:rRNA from 1 species
ACAUACGACCAUACCCACUGGAGAACUCGGGAUCGCGUCCGCUCUCCCAUAGAUAAGCCAGUGAGGGCCGGAUUAGUAGUUGGGUCGGUGACGACCAGCGAAUACCUGGUGUUGUAUGUG